rnacentral:rRNA from 1 species
AAUUUGGACAAUGGGGGCAACCCUGAUCCAGCCAUCCCGCGUGUGCGAUGAAGGCCUUAGGGUUGNAAAGCACUUUUGGCAGGGAANAAAAGGCUCUGGCUAAUACCUGGAGCUGCUGACGGAACCAGAAGAAUAAGCACCGGCUAACUACGUUCCAUUCGCCGCGGUAAUACGUAGGGUGCAAGCGUUAAUCGGAAUUACUGGGCGUAAAGCGUGCGCAGGCGGUUCGGCAAGAAGGAUGUGAAAUCCCAGGGCUUAACCUUGGAACUGCAUUCUUAACUGCCGGGCUAGAGUAUGUCAGAGGGGGGUAGAAUUCCGCGUGUAGCAGUGAAAUGCGUAGAGAUGCGGAGGAAUACCGAUGGCGAAGGCAGCCCCCUGGGAUAAUACUGACGCUCAUGCACGAAAGCGUGGGGAGCAAAC